GGCAUUUAUCAAUUCUGUACAUGUUCUUCUGACUUCCAGCUGCCACCAAACAUGACUCUCUGUCUGUGGGUGUUCUCCAACCAUGGAACAUGUUAGUGCCAAGAACUUAACUUCAAGAGCAGCCUGCCACUAAUAACUGAAGAGUUUUGCACUCCUCUGCAACCUUCCCACAGAACAGACUUCUAAAGGAAACAUUUGGCCAGAGGACAAGGCCCAGCAAACAUGCAUUCUUUUUACUACUAUUCCAGUAUAACUCCUGAAACUCAUGGCACUAAAAAAUACUUACCAUGUAAAUAUUGACUGACUGGACAAUGAAAGUGAAGAAUGAAAUGGUAUUAUUCAACAAAAGGAUAUUAGUAACUACAAUAUGCUUCUUAGACAGGUAAGCUUGAUCAGUUAUAACCAUUUGCAAACACUGAAAGGAAUUGCAUGAGUAUAUUGGUAUCUCUGAGAAUAAUUUGGUGAUAUAAAAACCCAGCAAAACAAUAAAUCGAUAGAAAAACUUACAGGAUG
rnacentral:lncRNA from 1 species